UUUUUUUUUUCUUUCUUUCUGUAUAUUCCAUAUUAUAAUGAGCUACCCUCCCUCCCCCCCCCAGUAUUGUACACAGUACACUGAAAUAGUUUAACAAAGUUAGUUCAGAGUCCUUUCUGCUCUGGUGAUUCAAAGCUCAAAGAUGAGAUUUUCUAGCAUAAAAUCUUAUUAAAAAAAUUAAUCAAAAUAUCAUUUGAAUUUAAGUUUAAUAAAACAGUACCACUAUAUAGACUCUCCACAACUGCAUUAUAUUCUCCAUCCUAUGAGGUUUUUACUUGCUUUUCAUAUCACACUGGACAAAAAUAAAUUUGAUGUACGUACACUGUAUACUGAUGUACAAUCUACACAUUGAUACAUAUAGAUACACACGGCCAUAAAUACCCACAGUUACGACUUCGGCAGGUGACAGAAAGCAUAUUCUUUGAUGUCUGACACAUCAUCAAUAUGAAUCUUCUCCAAAAGCUGGCAACACUACAGAGAUACACGUAAAUUACAAGGAUGAGCCAGAGAGACUGAAGGAAACCUACUGUAUAUACAACUACUUAACUUGCAAUAUUUUCUUGCUGUUGCUUCCAAGUCCACAGACUGUACUGACCGUCUCUGAAGACACUGUUUGCAGGCACUGGCCAGACACCAUCCCAGGCGGGGGCUGCCCACUUGGGUGUUGGGACACUCUGGGCACAAAAGGAAAAGGGAAAGGUGAAAGGGGAAGGGGUCAGGUCGUCUGCUCCCACCUGCGGAACACCCGACCCGGCCCACAAGAGCGAAAGCAGAGGUUUGGGCUGCAAGGCUAAGAGGUGCCCUGGGAACUCACGCCUGAAAAAGCUUCAUGGAUGACUACAGGCACAAAUGCCAGAGAACCAAAUUCCAACGACAGCUAACUAAGAAAGUCUUGGUUGUAAGACAAUGGAGGAAUUUUUUAAGGUUAAUUUUCUUCCCGCUGUCUAUGAUUUGGGAGCGAGGCAGAGAAGAGGGCAGCUCGAGGCCAAAGCAAGCCCUGCCUACCCAGCAACAUCCUCCCGCUCUUUCCGUGAUGGAGGAAGGGCAGCUAGGGCAGCACAAGGCUCUUGACCUGCUGGGUGCGUAAACUCCUCUCCAGCCUCAGAGGCUCUGUGCUUUGGCCACAAGGUGAAACACAGACUCAAGACACCAACCC
ensembl:lncRNA